rnacentral:lncRNA from 1 species
UGGGACCAAAACUGGGUUUCCGGGGUGUUUGAUCCAAUCCACAAGGAGAGGGUCAGAGGGGUCAGCAGGGUAUGCAAGGUUUUGAACUUGCACUGACUCAUUGGUGGAACCUGUGUAUAACAUGAUGAUUUCACCAUUGGGUAAGAUGGUGGCCGAGCCUGUCCACACACCUUGUUUGUCAUACCAUUGAUCAGCCACCAUUGCCAAUGGAAGGUGAAGCCAAUGGAUCAUGUCCCUUGACACCGCGUGUCCCCAAACUAUGUCACCCCAAACUGCACCGUUCGGAUUGUAUUGGUAGAAAAAGUGAUACCAUCCUUUGUAGUACAUAGGACCUGAAAUGCAUAUAAAAGGUUCUCACUAAUUGUUGAUGGGAGGAAUAAAACGAAGUGAAAAUUAGAUUUUUGUCUUUGUUUAAAUUAUUUAAAAUCAAAAUGAAUGGAAUUAAAUCUAAUAGAAAGAAAAUAAAAACAGAUAAAAUGAAGUGAUUAAAAAUUAAGAGAAAGGAAUCUAUUUCAUUCUUUUAAAUAUACUUUUACUUCUCCUAAAAUAAUAUUUUAACAAUAAACUAAUGAUUUAAUUUUAUUUCCAUUAUUUUAUAAAAUUCAAGUGUAUUUUACGUGAUCUUGUUUCAUUUUAUGACUCGUUGUCAAAUAUUCAAUCUUAUGUGGGUCCACUUUUAACCUCUGGUGCAAUUUCCAACGUGGUGCUGUGGGAAAAGUUCAUUGCUUCUGGACUAGUAGUAAUAGAUAAUUUAGAGGAGACAAUUCAACGCAAAAUAUUAAAAUUAGAAGAAAAUUAGCGAGGAAUUAAAUCGAAUUACGCAAACUUUGCAAGGUAGAAGAGUUCUUACCAUUAGGAUCUGAAGCAGAGCAAAUCAGGUUCCCCCAUCAGUCCAAGCCACAGACAUCCAACAAUAAAAAAUAAUAGGGAUGAUAGUUAGCUUGAGAUAAAGUACAAAUACAAAUGGUAUAAACAUACACUAUUCACAAUUUUUUUAUAUUCAAAGAAAACAUUCCGACAAAACAUGAUUUUACCCCUUCAAAAACUUCUUUUGAAAAAAUAAUGUUUUUUUAUUGGCUAAACCUUGAUUAAUUAUUGUCCUUAUCACUUUUCGUAGGACCAUUUUUGGAAGUAGAAAGACCCACGAAAUCCCAAUCCAAAAUCCCUUUUUGCUUCAAUACAAAUAACAUCUCUAAAAAGUGAAUAACGUCAAACAAAAUACAGGUCUCAAUCGUGUUAAUAAUUUGAACCGUGGAGACAAAUUUUAGGCAAUGCGAGAUAACUAUUCAGGCUAAUCUAAUAUCAGGCAUAAUCAAAACGUUCCAUCUAUGAAAAAAUAAUAAAAUCCAAUAAAGUGUCACUUGAGUAUUGGUUAGGUAGAAGUUGAAGAAAACAAAAACGUGUUGAUUUUCAGAUCACAGAAUUAGUUGGGUUAGAGGUGAAUAAUAAAAAAAAAAAGUUACC